UUAUAGAAUGGAGAAGCCCAAAGCAGAAGAAUAGACCGAGGGAAUUCACUCCCUAGUAUGCUGGAACAAAAGAUUUACCCGUAUGAGAUGCUCAUUGUGACACACAGAGGCAGAAACAAACUCCCUCCUGGUGUAGACAGGACAAGACUGGAGAGGCACCUGUCACCUGAGGAAUUCCAGAACGUCUUUGGAAUGUCCAGUGAGGAAUUCGACCGGCUCUCCUUUUGGAAGCGGAACGACCUGAAAAAGAAAGCCUCUCUCUUCUAGUAGUCAGAGAAACACGCUCUUAUACAAACACUGUCACGCGUCUGCACUUCCGCUUGUGAAAACAGUACAGGCGAUACAAGUUAAGGAAAGAUGAGGAAUGUGAAAUGAGGAAUGUGAUUAUGGAGCCAGCAAAAAAAAAAAAAAAUCAGUUAUCCUUAUCGUUUGAUAAGCCCCAUAUCUGAUUGCAGCUAACAAUCAUACCCGAGUCUCUCUUUUUCUAGUUGCAGCUACUAUGUCAGGACUCUUCUGUGUGUGCUCAGUAAAGCUAUAAUGAUAUACACAGAUACGAAUCACACCAGUUAUUUGAGCAGACCAAAUCCCUGCAGAACAUUUGAGAUGGACCAGCAGGAAUCUGUGCGUUUAAGUCACUGCCACACUUUUCAGCCUUCAUGUGCUAAGCAUGAAUUAACAAACCUUCAGAAUACGGGUCAGUGACUUUUUUUGACUGUCUCAUUCGUCAUUGACCCAUAUCUGUAAAAGCAGCUCAGUAUUUGAAUCAAGCAAAUCAAAUCAUGCUGAUAGUUUGGAAUUAAGUACAAUUUAUACUAGAGUCUCAAGACGCACGUGUUGCACACCAUCGUUCCUUACACCUUAACACCAAUAUCACCACGCAGAUACCAGCGGUACAAUAUAGAGCAACAUUGAUGACUCUGAGGGAGAGUGUGUUGUCCCAAAGAGAGCUACUGUACAUUAGUGAGAGUUUACUGAAUAUUGGAUAUGAGACGUAUGAAUCCUGCAUGGCAAAUGUAUCCUGCUUUUCUUCAGUGAUGAUUGUGAGUGUGAUCAGCACUUCUCCUAAUACUCCUCCUCCGCAGGAUGUUUCACUCGCUCCCUCUAUCCUAUCGUCUUUUUCUCUCCCUCCUCCCCGUUUUGCUGCUAUUGCCUUUACUGUUUUGGUUCUAUCUAUCCUCUUUUGUUCUUGACGGGUGGAAAUGUUUUUUAUGGUGUUCCUGUUUUAUAGGAUAAGGGUAGGUUAAGAUAUAAUGGGAUUUCAGAGAGCAUCUGAAGGUUGCUGUAAGUCUGAAGGAUUGAUUUUGCAGUUAAACAGCGUUAAACAGCUUUUCAGUGCAUGAAUGUGAAUUCAUAUUGCAUUGGUCAAGACCCACAGGAUGUUGAAUGGGAAUUAGAGGAAGAUGAAUUUACUGAACUGUAAUUCAAAGAAUAGACACAUUCACACAGCAGUGAUAUAACUGUAAAACUAACUGUUUUAUUUCAUUCAAUUCUAUGUUUUAAAAUUCAAAAAAAUUUGAAUUUGAAAUGCAUUCUUAAUUCUGUUCCGAAUGGCACACAACCCAGCAGUUCAUAUAUAAUUCUUGCCCACGUCGAAAUUAAAUAUAAAUUUCUAUGCUUUUAUUGCUCCAGUGACCAAAUGAAGUGCUUGGAUAGUGUGCAUGCUUAGAGUUUGUACCUAAUAAAACAAAAUUUUAUAAGAACAAAACAAUCACUAAAAAGCAGCACGUAUAUCAACUUGAGAAUGUACAGUAGAAGUACAAAUAUAUACAUUCCACAUUCAUUUUUGUAGAAACACUGCUCAAAAGGAAAUAUGUGGCUAUAUGCAUAUUAAAAAACCCAUAGUAUUAUUUGUUGAUUUAAUGGCUGUUCUUUCAGAAGAACAUUUUUUAUGUGAACACAAUCAGACACCUGAUUUAUACUUCUGCCGUUUGAAAUCUUUUCUUGUGUGACUGAAGUGGCACAAGCUCAUCACAAUGAUCACAUGAUCAUCAAAAUACACAAGAUUCAUCAAAUUAUGCUACUUAUCGAUCGUCUUUUUUUUUAGGUGGCAGCUUAAAGUGUUUUUCUGGUCUGAAAAUAUGUGUGGCUUCAGAAGUCAGGCCUUCUUUAUGAAAUCCAUUUCGCUAGGAAUAUUUUGCAGUGAGGCACUCAUUGCUUCAUCUUAAAGCACUUGAUUUCACUCUUACACAGCUUAGAGAAUGAAUGUUUUCACAAUAAGAAAAUAUGCUCUUUUAACCCACAUGUACAUGCAUCUGACAAUGUUCAUGUGAAAAAUGUCCCGAAUAUGAGCAUAUAUACUCAUUUUUCUCUGCUUCAUAAAUAGUGCUUUUCUUCUUUUCAUUUUCUUUUAUGUGAAAGUGUGAUGAAUGGGGGAAAAAAAUAAAAUGGAUUUAUUAAA